UAUAUCAUGAUUUAGUUUUGAUCAUAUACCAGUCAAAAUGAUUUAAACUACCCCAAUAUUGGCCAAGGCCUGAGAAAAUGUUGCAGUAAAAACUAUAGACCUAUCAUAGUUCUAGGUAAUAAGAAAAUCUUCCAAACAAAUUGUACAAGUCAAGAUUAUGUUCAGGGCUUCUUCCAUGCAAACCUUGCUAAUCAGAUUCUUUUGAGUAAAUUUAAGAGAUUCAGACUCAUCUUUUGAUUUGGAAGACUUACUUUUGGCUUUUACCACUUCCAACUGCA